CCCUUAGAUGCUCUGGGCUGCACGCGCGCUACACUGAUGCACUCAACGAGUUUACGACCUUGCCCGAUAGGGUUGGAUAAUCUUUUUAAAAUGCAUCGUGAUGGGGAUAGAUUAUUGCAAUUAUUAAUCUUCAACGAGGAAUUCCUAGUAAGCGCGAGUCAUCAGCUCGUGCUGAUUACGUCCCUGCCCUUUGUACACACCGCCCGUCGCUCCUACCGAUUGAGUGCUCAGGUGAAUAAUUCGGACUGCAGCAAUGUUUGGAUCCCGAACGUUGCAGCGGAAAGUUUAGUGAACCUUAUCACUUAGAGGAAGGAGAAGUCGUAACA
rnacentral:rRNA from 1 species